rnacentral:rRNA from 1 species
CCUACGGGUGGCAGCAGUGAGGAAUAUUGGUCAAUGGACGCAAGUCUGAACCAGCCAUGCCGCGUGCAGGAAGACGGCUCUAUGGGUUGUAAACUGCUUUUGUACGGGGGUAAACGCAGAUACGCGUAUCUUUCUGAACGUAUCUUACGAAUAAGGAUCGGCUAACUCCGUGCCAGCAGCCGCGGUAAUACGGAGGAUGCGAGCGUUAUCCGGAUUUAUUGGGUUUAAAGGGUGCGUAGGCGGUUUGGUAAGUUAGAUGUGAAAUCCCGAGGCUCAACUGCGGAAUUGCAUCUGAUACUGUUCGGCUAGAGUGUAGUUGAGGUAGGCGGAAU